CAAAGCUGCAAAAAUGAGAAGGGAAAUAAGGUUAGAGAAAGGAUCCAGGCAAUCAUAAGGACUGAGGAAGACAUGUUCCCCAACCCUGGAACUCACAAACCCUGAAGCUCAAGGAUUGCAUCCUUCCUCCAAAUCUCACUCAACAUAGUAAGUGCAGAACAUGCCAAAGCACUGUAUGAAACACUAGGGACAAAGACAAGGUCAAAAUCCUUGUAACCACAUGUGAUGGUAUUGUAGUGUAGUGUUAACACAGGGAACAGUAACAGAACACCCAAGAACCAAACAGAAGAGUGUAGGGAUAAGCAUAAAUGACGUAACAUGAAAUAAACUUCUAAAUGGAAAACUUGUCCAUACCCCCAGGGCAACAGUCAACUACAGUCUUCCAAAGGACAUAAAUUGCACUUAGGGCACACUAGACAGAAAACAAUACUGUGGGGCCGGGCGCGGUGGCUCAUGCUUGUAAUCCCAGCACU